rnacentral:misc_RNA from 1 species
GGCCUAAACUUAACAAACUGUGAACCAAAACAUGUCAUUCUGAGUAUGAUGUAACAAUCAAAAACAAAACUUUCAACAACGGAUCUCUUGGUUCUGGCAUCGAUGAAGAACGCAGCGAAAUGCGAUAAGUAAUGCGAAUUGCAGAAUUCCAGUGAGUCAUCGAAUCUUUGAACGCACAUUGCGCCCUUUGGUAUUCCGAAGGGCAUGCCUGUUCGAGCGUCAUUUUCACCCCUCAAGCCCCCGGCUUUGUGUUGGACGGCAUGGUCAGGCGACUGACCCCUCUUAAAGACAAUGACGGCGGCCUAGUUCGACCCCCGGUACACUGAGCUUCUUAACCGAGCACGUACCGGACCCUCGCGGUCGACGGGACCCGGUCUCCAUAACCCUUUAAUUUACAAGGUUGACCUCGGAUCAGGU